UGGGGAAUCUUCCGCAAUGGACGAAAGUCUGACGGAGCAACGCCGCGUGAGUGAUGACGGCCUUCGGGUUGUAAAGCUCUGUUAAUCGGGACGAAUGGUUCUUGUGCGAAUUGUGCGAUGAUUUGACGGUACCGGCAUAGAAAGCCACGGCUAACUACGUGCCAGCAGCCGCGGUAAUACGUAUGUGGCAAGCGUUGUCCGGAAUUAUUGGGCGUAAAGCGCGCGCAGGCGGAUUGGUCAGUCUGUCUUAGAAGUUCGGAGCUUAACCCCGUGAUGGGAUGGAAAAUGUCAAAUUAGAGUAGCAGCGACGAAAGUGGAGUUGCUAGUGUAGCGGUGAAAUGCGUAGAUAUUAGGAAGAACACCAGUGGCGAAGGCGACUUUCUGGACGAAAACUGGCGCUGAGGCGCGAAAGCCAGGGGAGCGAACGGG
rnacentral:rRNA from 1 species